rnacentral:lncRNA from 1 species
AACAUUUUUAGACCAAAACUGUGUCUUUCGUUUUGGGACAUAGAAACCAAUUUUACUAAGAGGUUUUCAAAAACAUGUGGUCAAAUAUUAAAUGCUAUGUUAGUAAGAAACUGACCGGGCGGAUUAUUGAAAACCUACGCGUAAUAGCUGUUUCAAUCUGGACCAUUCAAUUCAAAAAUUCUUCAUCUAAAUCGUGCAUUCAAAAAUCAGAUUUUCAAAAUUACAUUUUUGCCCCGACUUCAAAAAUUUUAUAAAUAAGGAGUAUUUCAUUCAUUUGUUUUUUUACCAAUUCAGUGAAAAGAAAAGCAUACUCUCCUUGCCUACAUUCU